rnacentral:lncRNA from 1 species
UCAAAGAGUCUCAAUAAGAAAUUUUUAAGGAACGGGUACUCAUCUUCAUCCUUAGAUCAUUAACCCUAGCCCCAAAAUUAUACCCAAUCACAUUUGUUAAAGCUUACUUUGGAAGGAGCAAGUAUCAUUAAGGUUGUUUGGUUUCUAAUUGAAAUUUGGUGAUUUUAAAAAAUUAAAAGUGGAAGAAGGAAAGGUUGGAGAAGUGAGAACAGGGGUAUACUGACCGAGGGAGAGAAAUACGCAGGGAGAGAGAAAGAAUGUAGUGAAAUGGGUGUGAUGUGGGUUUCUUAUGUUUAUGUUUAUUUAUUAUUAUUAUUUAUUUAUUUUAAUUUCAUUUGUUAUUAUUUAAGUGAAACGGUGCGUUUCA